UACAGAGGUCUCAAGCGUUGUUCGGAUUCAUUGGGCGUAAAGGGUGCGUAGGCGGCGCGGUAAGUCGGGUGUGAAAUCUCGGGGCUUAACUCCGAAACUGCAUUCGAUACUGCUGUGCUUGAGGACUGGAGAGGAGACUGGAAUUUACGGUGUAGCGGUGAAAUGCGUAGAUAUCUGGAGGAACACCGGUGGCGAAGGCGGCGUCCUGGACCAACACUGACACUGAUGAGCGAAAGCCAGGGGAGCAAACGGG
rnacentral:rRNA from 1 species